GACGAACGCUGGCGGCGUGCUUAACACAUGCAAGUCGAGCGGUAAGGCCCUUUCGGGGGUACACGAGCGGCGAACGGGUGAGUAACACGUGGGUGACCUGCCCUCAGCUCUGGGAUAAGCCUGGGAAACCGGGUCUAAUACUGGAUAUGACUCCAUGACGCAUGUUGUGGGGUGGAAAGCCUUGUGCGGCUGAGGAUGGGCCCGCGGCCUAUCAGCUUGUUGGUGGGGUGAGGCCUACCAAGGCGACGACGGGUAGCCGGCCUGAGAGGGCGACCGGCCACACUGGGACUGAGACACGGCCCAGACUCCGUACGGGAGGCAGCA
rnacentral:rRNA from 1 species